AGUGAACGCUGGCGGCAGGCCUAACACAUGCAAGUCGAGCGGCAACGGGUCCUUCUUGAUGCCGGCGAGCUGCGGACGGGUGAGGAAUACAUCGGAAGCUGCCCUGUCUUUGGGGAUAACCUAGCUAAACUAAGGCUAAUACCACAUACGACCUACUGUUGAAAGCGGGGGAUCGCAAGACCUCGCGCGACAGGAUGAGCCGAUGUCCGAUUAGCUAGUUGGCUUGGUAAAGGCUCACCAAGGCGACGAUCGGUAGCUGGUCUGAGAGGAUGAUCAGCCACACUGGAACUGAGACACGGCCCAGACUCCUACGGGAGGCAGCAGUGGGGAAUAUUGGACAAUGGGCGAAAGCCUGAUCCAGCAACGCCGCGUGGGUGAAGAAGGCCUUCGGGUCGUAAAGCCCUUUUGUCCGGGAAGAAAACGUCUGGGAUAAUACCCCGGGCGGAUGACGGUACCGGAAGAAUAAGCAACGGCUAACUUCGUG
rnacentral:rRNA from 1 species